GACGAACGCUGGCGGCGUGCUUAACACAUGCAAGUCGAACGGAAAGGCCCUGCUUUUGUGGGGUGCUCGAGUGGCGAACGGGUGAGUAACACGUGAGUAACCUGCCCUUGACUUUGGGAUAACUUCAGGAAACUGGGGCUAAUACCGGAUAGGAGCUCCUGCUGCAUGGUGGGGGUUGGAAAGUUUCGGCGGUUGGGGAUGGACUCGCGGCUUAUCAGCUUGUUGGUGGGGUAGUGGCUUACCAAGGCUUUGACGGGUAGCCGGCCUGAGAGGGUGACCGGCCACAUUGGGACUAAGGUACGGCCCAGACGGCUAUGGGGCGCAGCAGUGGGGAAUAUUGCGCAAUGGGCGGAAGCCUGAUGCAGCAACGCCGCGUGCGGGAUGACGGCCUUCGGGUUGUAAACCGCUUUCGCCUGUGACGAAGCGUGAGUGACGGUAAUGGGUAAAGAAGCACCGGCUAACUACGUG
rnacentral:rRNA from 1 species